GACGAACGCUGGCGGCGUGCUUAACACAUGCAAGUCGAACGGUAAGGCCCUUCGGGGUACACGAGUGGCGAACGGGUGAGUAACACGUGGGUGAUCUGCCCUGCACUUCGGGAUAAGCCUGGGAAACUGGGUCUAAUACCGGAUAGGACCACUGCCUGCAUGGGUGGUGGUGGAAAGCUUUUGCGGUGUGGGAUGGGCCCGCGGCCUAUCAGCUUGUUGGUGGGGUGAUGGCCUAACAAGGCGAAGACGGGUAGCCGGCCUGAUAGGGGGACCGGCCACACUGGGACUGAGAUACGGCCCAGACUCCGACGGGAGUCAGCAGUGGGGAAUAUUGCACAAUGGGCGCAAGCCUGGUGCAGCGACGCCGCGUGAGGGAUGACGGCCUUCGGGUUGUAAACCUCUUUCAGCACCGACGAAGCGCAAGUGACGGUAGGUGCAGAAGAAGGACCGGCCAACUACGUGCCAGCCGCCGCGGUAA
rnacentral:rRNA from 1 species